rnacentral:rRNA from 1 species
UUAAUGAGAGUUUGAUCCUGGCUCAGGACGAACGCUGGCGGCGUGCCUAAUACAUGCAAGUAGAACGCUGAAGAGAGGAGCUUGCUCUUCUUGGAUGAGUUGCGAACGGGUGAGUAACGCGUAGGUAACCUGCCUUGUAGCGGGGGAUAACUAUUGGAAACGAUAGCUAAUACCGCAUAACAAUGGAUGACACAUGUCAUUUAUUUGAAAGGGGCAAUUGCUCCACUACAAGAUGGACCUGCGUUGUAUUAGCUAGUAGGUGAGGUAAUGGCUCACCUAGGCGACGAUACAUAGCCGACCUGAGAGGGUGAUCGGCCACACUGGGACUGAGACACGGCCCAGACUCCUACGGGAGGCAGCAGUAGGGAAUCUUCGGCAAUGGGGGCAACCCUGACCGAGCAACGCCGCGUGAGUGAAGAAGGUUUUCGGAUCGUAAAGCUCUGUUGUAAGUCAAGAACGGGUGUGAGAGUGGAAAGUUCACACUGUGACGGUAGCUUACCAGAAAGGGACGGCUAACUACGUGCCAGCAGCCGCGGUAAUACGUAGGUCCCGAGCGUUGUCCGGAUUUAUUGGGCGUAAAGCGAGCGCAGGCGGUUUGAUAAGUCUGAAGUUAAAGGCUGUGGCUCAACCAUAGUUCGCUUUGGAAACUGUCAAACUUGAGUGCAGAAGGGGAGAGUGGAAUUCCAUGUGUAGCGGUGAAAUGCGUAGAUAUAUGGAGGAACACCGGUGGCGAAAGCGGCUCUCUGGUCUGUAACUGACGCUGAGGCUCGAAAGCGUGGGGAGCGAACAGGAUUAGAUACCCUGGUAGUCCACGCCGUAAACGAUGAGUGCUAGGUGUUGGAUCCUUUCCGGGAUUCAGUGCCGCAGCUAACGCAUUAAGCACUCCGCCUGGGGAGUACGACCGCAAGGUUGAAACUCAAAGGAAUUGACGGGGCCCGCACAAGCGGUGGAGCAUGUGGUUUAAUUCGAAGCAACGCGAAGAACCUUACCAGGUCUUGACAUCCCGAUGCUAUUUCUAGAGAUAGAAAGUUACUUCGGUACAUCGGUGACAGGUGGUGCAUGGUUGUCGUCAGCUCGUGUCGUGAGAUGUUGGGUUAAGUCCCGCAACGAGCGCAACCCCUAUUGUUAGUUGCCAUCAUUCAGUUGGGCACUCUAGCGAGACUGCCGGUAAUAAACCGGAGGAAGGUGGGGAUGACGUCAAAUCAUCAUGCCCCUUAUGACCUGGGCUACACACGUGCUACAAUGGUUGGUACAACGAGUUGCGAGUCGGUGACGGCGAGCUAAUCUCUUAAAGCCAAUCUCAGUUCGGAUUGUAGGCUGCAACUCGCCUACAUGAAGUCGGAAUCGCUAGUAAUCGCGGAUCAGCACGCCGCGGUGAAUACGUUCCCGGGCCUUGUACACACCGCCCGUCACACCACGAGAGUUUGUAACACCCGAAGUCGGUGAGGUAACCUUUUGGAGCCAGCCGCCUAAGGUGGGACAGAUGAUUGGGGUGAAGUCGUAACAAGGUAGCCGUAUCGGAAGGUGCGGCUGGAUCACCUCCUUUCUAAGGAA